UUAUUUAGAAAAUGAAAAUGCUAACUCUGGUGUUACCCAAAUGAGUAAUAAGUAAUAUAUUAUACGCUGCCCAACACUCCUUCCUGUGAAAUAAUGUAUGAAAUUUCUUUCAAAUCAGAUGCUGCCCUGAAAAAUUUUUGUGAGCAUGCACUGAGAUCUCCCAAAAGUUUUGGAUAACCGAAUUUGGGGAUUGAUGGUAGUGCAUGGAGAUAAAUUAUUGACUAAAGACUGACAAUUUACUAUGAAUAUAGAGAGCAUGCUUUGUGUUGAAAGUUGUAACGAGG
rnacentral:misc_RNA from 1 species